rnacentral:rRNA from 1 species
GCUUGUCUCAAAGAUUAAGCCAUGCAUGUCUAAGUAUAAAUAACUACACAGUAAAACUGCGAAUGGCUCAUUAAAACAGUUAUAGUUUAUUUGAUACAUUUUAAAUGGAUAACUGUAGAAACACUAGAGCUAAUACAUGCUAAGACCGUAAGGUUGUAUUUAUUAGAUAUACCGAGUAGGUGAAUCAUAAUAACUUCGCAAAUCGCAGUAAUACUGCGAUAAAUCAUUCAAGUUUCUGCCCUAUCAGCUUUGGAUGGUAGGGUAUUGGCCUACCAUGGCUUUAACGGGUAACGGAGAAUUAGGGUUCGAUUCCGGAGAGGGAGCCUGAGAAAUGGCUACCACAUCCAAGGAAGGCAGCAGG